CCGGAUCUCUCUGCCGGGCCUUGUUUCACUGGAGCUAACGGGUGUUUUGCGUAGGACUCCUGUCCUGGAAAGCAUGCCGUUGUUAGUUUCGGCAAUUGUUAGACUUGAAUUGGAUUGCCAUGAUAAUUGUAGUAAAAAUGACUACGGUGAUUGCGGUAAUAGGAGGUGUUGGAAUUGUUAUGAUCCUAGAACUGGUGCUGAUGAUUGGCGUGGUAAGUCUGUACUCUUAAAAGGACUAUCGGAAGUUGCAGAGUUGGAGUUGUCAGUCGAGUCUCAAGUGGUAUGCUUGCUUGCACCUACUUUAGCUCUGUUUUUCUACCCGUUCAAAACUGAUUCAGUUUCUGGUAGUUGUUACUAUGUUGCUCAUAUAUAGGCUUCGAUGGAAUUUAUCCUAUUUAAUUUCCUAUCCAUUUAGUGUAACCACAUCUUAUACAACAAAAACCUAAGCAAAUUAAGGAUUAUUUUUCCUUUGUACAGUUCAUUGUCAACAGGGAUUUGAAAUUAUGCCCGACAUUUAGCAAGCUAAAGAAUUUGUUGCUCAGCGAAUGGUGUCCAGACAUUGCUAGUGACCUCAACAUAUUAAGCUGCUUUCUCAAACAUUCACCAAUUCUCGAGAAGCUCACUCUCCAGAUUUCCAAGGUACCUAAAGAGCCAGCGGAAAUACAAACAAGUUACACUCCACCAGAGCAACCAUUUGCACUUAUCCAUCUGAAGAGUGUUGAUAUCAGAUUUGACGAAGUUGAUGGAAAGGUUUUGAACAUCUUGCGUGCCCACGGUGUACCACUGGAGAAAGUUAAUAUCCAGAGAAAUAAACUACUGGAUCUUAAUAAAUGACGUGCUCACUGUUGGACGAAGAAUGAAGCAGGGGUUGAUCACUUCAUGGCCAUGUUCCAAGGCAUCAUCCGACGCUGAUCAUGAGUUAUGGCUCUCCAUCUGGGGACCUAGUGUUUUAGCUUUAUGAUGUCGCGA